GGCAGCCCAGGUUGUUACCCUGCCGACACAUGAAUGGUGGUGGAAUUAUCAGGGCUGGCUAAGUUCUAAAUUGGAUUUCACAGUAGGCUGAGAAAGUUGAAAACAGAGAAAGCUCCCAGGGUUAUAAAAACUGCCAAAGUCUUCAUUCUGAGGUGGCCUAUGUAUGCCUGAAUGAACUCAACAUUGGAGAAGGAAGAGCCAACCAGUUCCCGGCCACUCCCAGCCAGUGGCUUCCCUGAGCCCUGUUGCUAUGCUAGGCUAUUAAAAAUGGGCAGUGGUGCUCCACGAAAGCAAGCCAGCAGGGAGGAAAUCUUCAGGCCUGCUAGCAGGAGCAGUCCUUGACUGGUAGUCACUACUACAGAGUGGACUUUAACAAUGGCAUCUGAACACCCUCGGUGGGUACAUCUCUCUGCUCUGUGGAGCUUUAGGAAGGACCUGCCCAUGAAGGUCACCAGAAAGACCUGAAGAAUAUGGCAGGAGUUUUGCAUUGUAGAGGGUCCAAGAGAGAGAAGGGGGUGCUUCAACCAAGCGAAGGUCCACACUGACUACACAUGGUGACUGCUAAUCACCAUAUGCUUCUAGAACCGCCCCCCUCUCUCUCUGGCCCAUUGCAAUCAUUGGUUUGCACACGACACUGUGUAUUGUUCCAUCCACACUGUAAGAGCCCAGAGACCAACAGUGUCUCUACAGGCCCCAGCAGACUGGUAGCAAUGCUCUGCUUAGACAACAUGUGUUAGCCACGGCCCCUCAGUUGAGUGCUUGUGAGAAGCUUCAUUCCUGCAAGGCAGAUGGCCAUUGUGACACCCCAAGGCUGCUUCAACGAGACAAGCAAAGGAGCUCCCACCUUCAUGUGGCUUGACAGCUUGCCCUGCUGGCCUGUCAUCCGAGUGUCAAAGCAGCUUCUUCAGAUACUUCGUUUUCUGGACUUCAUCCAAGAAGCUGUUGGACACAGAGAAACUGAGAAACUGCCAGUCACUUUCUCAGCUUCUUCCUCGAGAGAGUCUGCGUGUCAAAAAAACUGUUAUUAGGAAUGUAAACACUGCAGACAUUUGAGCUAGCAAGCAGAGAUUCAACCCCUCUUCACUGUUGUUCAAUGUAUUCCAAGGCAGAUGUGGUUGAUUCUUCUAAGAGCACCCAGCCAUCCUUCCUCUGCAGAGCUGGUGAAGGUAGCUGGGUAAUACUUCAGAGUGGGCUGGACAGAAGUCACGAGGAGACAACCAUAGGAUGGUGGUUCCAUGUGUGCACAGGGCUGAGGGGUGACCCCUUCGAUGUCUUCUCCAAGAUGUGAGAGGAAGUCGCUGCCUUCUACAUUCAUAGCCCUGGCUUGGGAACAGAUUUCUGGAUGUCCCCACUGAAAUAGGUGAGAUCAAGUCUCCCGCCUCCCCUGAGCAGCACCACCCAGGCCUCUCUCCCUUGGCUUCCCAGGAGUGCAGAGAAAGAAGCUGAGCAAACUUUGGGGCCAAGGGAGAUGCUACACUCCGAGCCAAAAGGGCAGGUGAAGACCAAAGAGGGUGUGAGUAUGUCCUCUCAGGGGACAGGCCAGGCCUAGAACCACUGUGCCACAAAUACUAUGCACCAGGUGCCUCAGCAUGUCCUCUCAGGGGACAGGCCAGGCCUAGAACCACUGUGCCACUGUGCCACAAAUACUAUGCACCAGGUGCCUCAGCAGAGAGCAAUUUCUAUUCUUACAGUUCUGAGUCACAGAUCAAGCUACCACCAUUGCUCUGGUGGUCUCUCUUCUUUGCUCACAGAAGGCCCCUACCCUGCACCUGCGGUGACUGAAAGGUGCAGAGGAGACUGGUAAAGCACAUCUCUGGGUAUCUCUGAGAGGGCUUUUCCUCCCACGGUUGGUUCCCUGAGGGCCAUGAUCAACCAGUGAUUGACUUCACUGAAGGAAGUAUGGCACCAGGAGAGCCCUGGGUCGUUCCCAGCAUGCUCUCUGCUUUCUGUCCACUUGCAGAUUAAGAUGUGAGCCCUUAGCUUCUGUUUCAGUUACCGUGGCUGCUGCUCCUUUCUUUCUGCCCUUUGGAGCCAUAAGCCCCAAAUAAACUUUCUUUUAUAAGU
ensembl:lncRNA LOC120093813 uncharacterized LOC120093813